AUGGGCAGCCGCACUGUCGGGGGCCUCCUGGUGUUCUUAGUUGAAAACAUAUUUGGGAUAAAGGGGUUCAAGGCCAAGGUGAUCUUGUUUAUCUGCAAGGUGAUCAUCAACUCCAUCGUUUCUGCGCUCGGCUUGUUCUUCCUCUAUCUCAUCUACUUCCGCCCCUACGCUGUGCGGCCACAUGUGGACGCCGCCGCCCUCACCUCGUUCGACAUCGCCCCUGGCCCGGCUGGCCACGACAGCAUGCUCCGCUACGACCUCGCCGUCAACGUUACCUUCUUCAACGACCACCGGAUAUGGGCCAUCCGCUUCAACCAGUUCAGCGCGAGGAUCUACUUCAACGGCACCCAGCUCAGCCCACCAGACGACACGUUCCCAAAGUUCAAGGGCAGGACGCGUCGGCACCGCACCGUGUGCCCGGUGUUGCGCGGCCGCGCCAGCAACGUCAGCGCCGCCGUGGUGGAGGAGCUCUCCAGGGAGCGAGCGCAGGGUUGGCUCACCCUCGACGUCAGGCUCAAGGCGACGUUGACUUAUAUCAUAUGGCCCACACGGUACGUCUACUACUACGAGUAUGACUGCUGGCUGCAUUUCCCCAGCAACGCCACGCCUGCGGUGAUCGGCGGUGUCAAGUGCAGCAAGGGCAAGCGCUUCGGCCUUUCCUAG
rnacentral:rRNA from 1 species